rnacentral:rRNA from 1 species
CCUACGGGGGGCAGCAGUGAGGAAUAUUGGUCAAUGGACGAGAGUCUGAACCAGCCAAGUAGCGUGAAGGAUGACUGCCCUAUGGGUUGUAAACUUCUUUUAUAAAGGAAUAAAACGAGGCACGUGUGCCUGUUUGCAUGUACUUUAUGAAUAAGGAUCGGCUAACUCCGUGCCAGCAGCCGCGGUAAUACGGGGGAGCCGAGCGUUAUCCGGAUUUAUUGGGUUUAAAGGGAGCGUAGAUGGGUUGUUAAGUCAGUUGUGAAAGUUUGCGGCUCAACCGUAAAAGUGCAAUGGAUACUGGCAGUCUUGAGUACAGUUGAGGUAGGCGGAAUUCGUGGUGUAGCGGUGAAAUGCGUAGAUAUCACGAAGAACCCCGAUUGCGAAGGCAGCUUACUAAACUGUGACUGACAUUGAUGCUCGAAAGUGUGGGUAUCAAACAGGAUUAGAUACCCGAGUAGUC